rnacentral:rRNA from 1 species
UGGGGAAUAUUGGACAAUGGGCGAAAGCCUGAUCCAGCCAUGCCGCGUGUGUGAAGAAGGUCUUCGGAUUGUAAAGCACUUUAAGUUGGGAGGAAGGGUUGUAGAUUAAUACUCUGUAAUUUUGACGUUACCGACAGAAUAAGCACCGGCUAACUCUGUGCCAGCAGCCGCGGUAAUACAGAGGGUGCAAGCGUUAAUCGGAAUUACUGGGCGUAAAGCGCGCGUAGGUGGUUUGUUAAGUUGGAUGUGAAAUCCCCGGGCUCAACCUGGGAACUGCAUCCAAAACUGGCAAGCUAGAGUAUGGUAGAGGGUGGUGGAAUUUCCUGUGUAGCGGUGAAAUGCGUAGAUAUAGGAAGGAACACCAGUGGCGAAGGCGACCACCUGGACUGAUACUGACACUGAGGUGCGAAAGCGUGGGGAGCAAACAGGAUUAGAUACCCCCGUAGUCCCUGAGCGGGCUGGCAAGGCGCAU